AGCCCUAACCCUCAACAUCCCUGGGUUUGGAGAUGGGGCCUUUAAGGAGGAAAGGCUAGAUGCUGACACCUUGAUCUUGGACCUCAAGCUUUCUGAAUUGUGAUAAAUAGAUGUUUAUAAUAAAGCCACCCAGUUUGUGUAUCUUGUUGUGAUAGCUGGACCUGACUAAUACACAGGGCAUGUGGUGAGUUUAAGGGGAAGAUGUCUUUCUGAAACAUUUGAAUCAAUCAGAAGUUCUUUUGGAACAACUAAGGAAAGAUGUCAGCUUGCUGCCUCACAAUGCUGUUUGAUGACACUGGCUUAGAAAAUAGAAAACAGAUUUUUCUUUUCUCCGAAGAAAUAGAAAACUUUCCUGUAUACUCCAAGGGAUAUACAGGAAGAAUAGAAAUAUGAAUUUGAACUAUGACUAAGAGUCAGCAUAUACUUACCUUUCUCUGGAAAAAGAAAAGAAAAAAGCUGGAGAAGUAAAGUUCAGAAGCACGAUUGGGUAUGGCUGAGUUAAGUAGACUACAUGAAAAAUAAACACUGUCAACAGUCUUAUAGAGAA
rnacentral:lncRNA from 1 species